CUGAGUGGGCUUUUCUUAGGAAUUGCAACACCCGAUCUGAUGUCAUUUGAUCGUUGGGGUGAGGUGUGGCUUUUUUGGGACGAACUGGAAUUCGGGUAACCGAGAGCUAGCACGGACCACCAAGUCAACCUCACAGCCAACACUGAUAUUUCGCCGGAAGAGGUAGUCAUUGAAUUGCCCGCCGGCGGCCGUAUUUACAACUCUGUUUGAAUUGUGAAGUCUGAAUACGACAAAAAAUGAAAAGCA
rnacentral:misc_RNA from 1 species